rnacentral:rRNA from 1 species
GAUGAACGCUAGCUACAGGCUUAACACAUGCAAGUCGAGGGGAAACGAUAUUGGAAGCUUGCUUCCGAUAGGCGUCGACCGGCGCACGGGUGAGUAACGCGUAUCCAACCUGCCCAUCACUUGGGGAUAACCUUGCGAAAGUAAGACUAAUACCCAAUGACGUCUCUAGAAGACAUCUGAAGGAGAUUAAAGAUUUAUCGGUGAUGGAUGGGGAUGCGUCUGAUUAGCUUGUUGGCGGGGUAACGGCCCACCAAGGCGACGAUCAGUAGGGGUUCUGAGAGGAAGGUCCCCCACAUUGGAACUGAGACACGGUCCAAACUCCUACGGGAGGCAGCAGUGAGGAAUAUUGGUCAAUGGGCGAGAGCCUGAACCAGCCAAGUAGCGUGCAGGAUGACGGCCCUAUGGGUUGUAAACUGCUUUUAUAAGGGAAUAAAGUGGGAGUCGUGACUCUUUUUGCAUGUACCUUAUGAAUAAGGACCGGCUAAUUCCGUGCCAGCAGCCG